AUGUUAAUUUCUUAGCUGUAAUAAUGGACACCAAGCUAGACAUAGCCACCAAUAAUUCCUCAACUCCAUUCUUAACAUGAAAUAAUGUUUAUCGGGUGCUCUUCAGGGUGACCCAAAAGUUUUAAAUAAUUUCAGCCAACUCUAAACCAGUUUGCUUGAAAACUUGCAUUUUAACAUUUUCUGCAAUGUUACAGUAAAAUAUUAUUCACUAAAUCCACCUAGUUUCUUCAUUCCAGCCUUAAGCUGACCGGGCACUGCUUCAACAGUGGCUCACAAGACUUGUAGUGAUAUUUUAUCCCAUUCACGCCUCAGAGACCUCUUCAAAACCACUUCUGACUGAUUUAGCACAAGCAUUGGUCUCCAAGAUGGACCAAAUGCUAGAGUCCAUUGGGUUGAGGCCUGGGCUUCAAAGAGGUCAUUCUUCUUUGGACAAGAAAUCUGGGACAUUGUCUCUAAGCCACCUCUGAGCCCUGUUGACAGUGUGGGUAGGUGUUCUAUCCUGGAAGAGAAAAGGGCCACUGUUGAACAAGUCUUGGCUCAAAUGUUUCACCUUAGGCUCAAGAAUGUGUUCCUCAUUGCUUGCAGCCUUGUUCUUGACUUCAGGAACAAAAACAUGAGUUUUCCCCCAUUGAAGACACUCCAGCCCAGACCAUCACAGAUAAGAGUUGUUGAGUGCAGUGGAUAUUUCUGGCAUUCUCUUGACAGGACUGAGCAAAUUCUGCAAGGACCCUCUCAUUUUGGCUGUUAGCUUCUUCAACAGUUAACAUCUUCUCAUCUGUGAAGAGCUCAUUGUCCAAGCUGUGAGAAAUCUGAAACCUUACAUCUGACCCAAACACAGGAAAGUGGUUUUGAAAAUAACGAUGUCAUCUGAAAUGUUGAUAGAAUAGAAUAGGGAGAGAAAGAAACAGUG